UAUGAGUGCAGUUUUACAACGUUUGACCAUUUAUUUUAUUUAAAUUUUUUUUAUGAUUAGUAUUUUUAUUUUUAUUAGAUGAUAAAACAUAAAUAAUAUUUUAUACAGAACUGAUUUUUUAUAAUUUUUUUAAAUAAUACAAACAGUUAAACAUUGGACACGGAUGCACUGCAGGUAGU
rnacentral:pre_miRNA from 1 species